UAAGGCUCUAUCUAUUUUUAUUUAUCUGAAUCAUCAUGAUCAUUAUGAUAUUAUUGUGGAAAUUGCUGUGUUACAAUUUACAACUCUUGGUUGAAAUUUGUUGGUGGAUUGGAAUUUGUAGGCAUUUUUCCAGCGUUGGUGGAGAGAACAAAGUGAAGUUGUUCAGAACAUAGUCAAACAGCUGGUCAACUCUGGUCAAUUGGAGUUCAUAAAUGGGGGUAUGGUUAUGCAUGAUGAGGCUACUACACAUUACAUUGACAUGAUUGAUCAAACAACACUUGGACAUCAUUUCAUCAAAGAAGAAUUUGGUAAAACCCCAAGAAUAGGUUUAUUGAUCAAACAAAAAUAUGAAUUUGAUAAUGCAUCUAUUAUUCUAUCAAUUAAGUAUAAUUAAAUGACUUCUCCUUGAUUUGUUGUCAGCUUUUCAAGAAACUGAACAAAACAAACAUCACACCGUUACUGUCCUUGCAAACGUCACCUUUUUUCCAUGCCAUACUUGUACAAUGCUGGAGCUAUGCUCAUAGCCUUGGUUGAUAAAUGGGAGAGUUUCCAUUGGACAACAUCUCCAACGCAAAACUCUCAUAGCCCUUAUUCAUUGAGAGUGUUACGUUGGAGAUGUUGUCCAAUGGAAACUCUCCCAUUUAUCAACCAAGGCUAUGAGCAUAGCUCCAGCAUUGUAGAAGUCUGGCAUGGAAAAAAGGUUUGCAAGGACAGUAACGGUGUGAUGUUUCUUUUGUUCAGUCUUGAAACUCUUGCCAAUAAAUCGCAGAAAUUCAUCCCCAAUUUACUCGCAAGAGUUUGAAGACUGAGCAACGAUUUAAGUACUUCAACUUUUCAAGAAACUGAACAAAACAAAAAACAUCAGUAGCCACCAAAAAACAAAGCCUGAAAGAAGAUCUGAAUAUAGGAAAGAGG